AUUGAACGCUGGCGGCAGGCCUAACACAUGCAAGUCGAGCGAGCGGCGGACGGGUGAGUAAUGUCUGGGGAUCUGCCCGCUAGCGGGGGAUAACUACUGGAAACGGUGGCUAAUACCGCAUACUCUCAGCUGACCCCAUAUGGGAUUAGCUAGUGGGUGGGGGAAAGGCUCACCUAGGCGACGGUCUCUCGCUGGUCUGAGAGGAGGACAGGCAACACUGGAACGGAGACACGGCCCAGACUCCUACGGGAGGCAGCAGUGGGGAAUAUUGACAAAUGGGCGCAAGCCUGAUGCAGCCAUGCCGCGUGUAUGAAGAAGGCCUUAGGUUUGUAAAGUACUUUCAGCGGGGAGGCGUUACCCGCAGAAGAAGCACCGGCUAACUCCGUGCCAGCAGCCGCGGUAAUAC
rnacentral:rRNA from 1 species